rnacentral:rRNA from 1 species
UGAGGAAUUUUGCGCAAUGGGAGCAAUCCUGACGCAGCAACGCCGCGUGGGUGAUGAAGGCCUUCGGGUCGUAAAGCCCUGUCAGGUGGGAAGAAUGUCCCGGGACUGAACAGGUUCCGGGAGUGACGGUACCACCAGAGGAAGCACCGGCUAACUCCUUGCCAGCAGCCGCGGUAAUCCGGAGGGUGCAAGGGUUAUCCGGAAUUACUGGGCGUAAAGCGCGUGUAGGCGGUCCUGCAAGUCUGAUGUGAAAGCCCCGGGCUUAACCCGGGAAGUGCAUUGGAUACUGGCAGACUUGAGUACGGGAGAGGGAAGUGGAAUUCCGGGUGUAGCGGUGGAAUGCGCAGAUAUCCGGAGGAACACCAGUGGCGAAAGCUGCCUCCUGGACCACUCCUGACACUCAGACGCGAAAGCUAGGGUAGCAAACG